rnacentral:rRNA from 1 species
AGUGAACGCUGGCGGUAGGCCUAACACAUGCAAGUCGAACGGCAGCACAGUAAGAGCUUGCUCUUACGGGUGGCGAGUGGCGGACGGGUGAGGAAUACAUCGGAAUCUACUUUUUCGUGGGGGAUAACGUAGGGAAACUUACGCUAAUACCGCAUACGACCUACGGGUGAAAGCAGGGGAUCUUCGGACCUUUCGCGAUUGUAUUAGCCGAUGUCGGAUUAGCUAGUUGGCGGGGUAAAGGCCCACCAAGGCGACGAUCCGUAGCAGGUCUGAGAGGAUGAUCAGCCACACUGGAACUGAGACACGGUCCAGACUCCUACGGGAGGCAGCAGUGGGGAAUAUUGCACAAUGGGCGCAAGCCUGAUCCAGCAAUACCGCGUGAGUGAAGAAGGCCUUCGGGUUGUAAAGCCCUGUUGUUGGGAAAGAAAAGCAGCAGGUUAAUACCCCGCUGUUCUGACGGUACCCAAAGAAUAAGCACCGGCUAACUUCGUG